AUGAUAGUUGUCUGCACCAAGAUGAGUUUGUCGGUGCUGAAUCUGAAAUGGUUGCCGCUGUCCCGCCAGCAGCAUCGUAGACGAGCCAAGCAACAAGAUGAUGGAGACCAGCCGUACUUCUUGAUCCGGUAUCUAAACAAUUGGUUGUCAGUGUUGCUGCGGAAUUUGCAGAGGAGGGAGAGGGUUUUGCUGACAACUGGCACAUUGAGGUUAGGUGUUGGUCUAGGCGCUGGUGUUGGUGAGGCGCGUCACUGGAGCUCGGCCAUCACUCAAUCGGGCAGCACUUUGAGCCAUUGUAAAAAUAUCAUGAUCAUCUUUUGGCGAAUACAAAGAUGUUUAUAA
rnacentral:rRNA from 1 species